GGUAUCCAACUCAACACUAAACACAAAUAUGUCCAAUAGGGGAAUUUAUUAUGUUUUACAUAGUUGGGAAACCUAUAUCAACUCCAAGAUGUCACAGUGGGAGUACUUGAGUUGUUUCCUAAACCUAAAUAUGAAACUAAAACUAAAAUCAAUUCUGGGGAAUGCCUCUUAGGACUGCAGUGAUGAAGCAUAAUAGAACCAGCCAUGUGUGGAGAUGACAUCAGAGGAUAAACCAGCUUGUCCUGGCUGAAAUCAAAUGGGGUUAGCUCAAGAGCAAGGACAGAAAAGAAACAUGAUCAUUCCAAAGGAUAGUUUCCAGCAAGGGCUAACUUGGAUAUGCAGCCACCUGGGGAGUUCUUCUGCUUGUCAAGCCCAGCUCAGCAGCAGCUCUGGGUUUGUUUGGAGAUUCUCGAAGCCUCUUGAAAGCUGUAACUAAAGUAAGGUGCUGGGAUGCCAAAAAGGAAAUGAAAGCCAGGAUCCAUCUGGAGACCUCUACACAUUCUCUGUUGCAAAAGGCUGAUGAAUGAAGGAACCCGUCAACAUGUUGUAAUGUGGCAAAGGUUGCAGACGGAAUUAAGGUAGCUGAUCAACUGACCCAAAGACAAGGAGAUUACCUGAAUUACACAGCUCUGGCUGCUGGUAAGAGGAAACUACUAAUCUAGAAAAGGGAGCCUCAACAUUGUAACUGCCGCUGCAGCACACUAUUAUUAGCAUAGAUCCUAAUAUUUGGGAUGAAGCAAAUACAACGGAGCCAGCAUUGCAGGCUAUAAAAGGAAUCACAUAUUGUCUUAGUCUGUUUGUGCUGCUGUAACAAAAUACUUGAAACUGGAUAAUUUGUAAAGUACAGAAAUUUAUUUUCUCACAGUUCUGGAAGCUGGGAAAUCCAAGAUCAAGGUGCCGGCACCUGAUCCCUUCUAGAUGCAGAAUAAAAGAUGAACCUGCUGAGGAGGACAAAUCAAGAACACUUCCUCUUUCUCUGGGAUUAUGAACUGGACAACUUUGGGAGGUGUGGGGAAGGACAGAAUACCAACAAAGCCAGUCACAUCGGUCUGGCAAGCAGAGGGGUGACAGCUGUUCCAGGCAUUCUUGCUGACAACCCCCGCAGUGCAGGAGCCCUUGGGAUGAGAGGCAGCUUCAGUCUGCCUGAGUGCCAUGGGAUACCUUACCAACCAUGCAAAGCUGUGAUUUGGCACAUGUAUCCACCGGGCCUGGGAGGAGCAAUGCCACUGUCAACUUCAGGAGCCUAGAAAAGCUGACAGUAAAGAGAACUCAGACCAGCCUUAGCUGGAUAUUGACAGCAGCAGUGGUUAUAGAGUUGGGCUGGGCCUGAGGCCAAAUGAGUUGGCAGGGUCUCCCUGGCCUCUGCCUGGCCCCACUCAGCUCCAUCUGUCUAAUGGUGGGUGUCAGCCUUGAAAAGUGCCAGCCAUCGAUUCUGGCAAUUCAGGAAAGGAGAAGAGGACACAUAAGAUAUAUGCUCAUAAGUGAAAGACUGCCUAAAAUGUCCUGGGCUAGAAACCAGUCACAGUGUGGCCACAGGGAUCCUUUACACACUGUCCUCAUCCUUUGCCUGCUUUCCCUUUUGUUUACCAUUUUUAUUCUUACAGAGAUGCCCAAAUGAAUGUGUCGAUAAAGACAUUUUCAAUGGGGCCAGAGAAAGAAAAUCUAAUUCAAAAUGCCUUAAGCAAAAAACAAAUUAACUGUUCAAGUAACUGAAAAGUCCACUGAUAUUUUAGGGCAUAGUAGGAUUAGGGAUUCAAAAUUGUGUUAAAGUUUCUCUUCUGUCAUUCCCAGCCUUACAGCAUUUUAACUGCUUAGCAUCCUAGUAUAAAAGAGGCUUUUUUUCCCAUGGGAACAAAAGUUCUGAAUUUUAAUCUAAUUUUCCUGUUUUGGAAAAUGACUAGAGCAAUGGGAAACUCUGGUUAACUAGGCUGGAAUUCUAUGCACAUGCUUGCAGCGGGGAGAGGUUUUUCAAUCCCACUCAAAACAAAUGGAUUAGUUGUUGGAGAAUGGCGCUUUCUUAGAGGAAAUGAGGAAAUACGGAUAGCAUUACUGGCCAAAAGGGGAAAAUUACAAACCAAAACAACAGACACUUCACUUUAUAGAAUCUUUGGCUUACCAAGUUAUGUGUACUAAAGGUGAUUAAUUCCGAUGAAGGUUAUCUGUUGAUGAUGAUAGUAUAAUUGGUAAUUAAUGAUGAUUAAUUAUGAUUGGUAUUUUAUGAAGAGAUUUGUAUAGUUUGGUAUAUUGUUGAGUAAUUUUCCUGAGACAGUUUUCCUAGUUAGAAGAGUGGUUUAGACACUUUGCUAAGUUAAUGUAUCAUUUACCAUUAAAAGUGCUGUGGAAUUAUCCAAGGGCUAGGAGCCAUGGUCUUAAAACAUUUCAGUUAAAUGACUUAAAAUCAUAACUCAUAUCUAUAUCAAAGUUAGGUGGUUAACAUAAAAUAUUCAUGUGACUAUAGUAUAUUAUUCCAGCAACACCUUAAGAUUGUUUCUAGCUAAGUCCCGGAGGCUUUUCCUUUAUACUUUUCAUGAAAUUGUUAUUUUACCAAAUACAUUUGUAAAUUGAAAAUAACAUAAAUAUACAAAGUCACAAUAUUAGGCAUGAUUUGUUCAGAGCACUGUCUGGAGGUCCUGACCUCAAUUUCAUUGAUUAUGUUGGCACAAACAAUACCUAUUUGUU